rnacentral:lncRNA from 1 species
CCAGAUGGUCGGAGAUGCGACUGAACCUGAUCGACUCGCAUAUCAUUUGAAUCACAACAAUCAAUUGCUUGGCCCUCUCCUGGCGGUUGGUAGUGGAAGCGAGUUGGUUGACAGCAGUUCCGAGCUGCGGCUGGCCGAGGUUUAUGCGAUCCACCGUUUGUCCGGCAGCAUUUUCCAAGUCAUUGUAAUCGCCGUUGAAGCCCAGGAAGUUGGGUCCCGGACCUCUUCCCAACUCUAACCACUGAUCAGCAUUCCACAUUUUGUAGCCGUCCAAGUAAAGGUUACCUCGCCGAAUCCUCAGCGUGAUGCUCCGUGAUUGAGUUUGCAGUACCACAUGGAACCUCUCGAUGGGUUCAGUGCUCUGCUGAGGGGGAAGCACAGGGCGAUUGUGUGAAUAGCUGCCGGAUGCCAAUUUGUUGCGCAAGGAUCCGACGAAUCCCUUGUAAGCCGCCCAUUCACCUGUAACUUUGUCGUCGACCUUAAAAUUGAACUCCAUUGUGUUGUGUUGUGUUGUGUUGUGAUCUGUUCUUAAAGGAAACCUAAGCAAAGAGACAUUUGCUUCCAUAGUUUAUUAUUUAAAUGAGAAAAAUUGAGCUCCAAUGAACAAAAUAGAUGUUCUACCGUAUAACCAGCUCAUCCAGUUGCAUAAUAUAAUUAACUAAGUGCUAAUAUAUAAUAUAAUUAACUAAGUUCCAAUGACGCCCCGUAGGAAACUAUUUUUAUAUUACAGAAAAUCAAAACAAACAUACAAAUAUCUAUAUUAAUUGUAGCAAGGUUGAGAAUUUACAUAUCUUCAAACUUACAACAGUAAUGGCACCGGUGUAUUGUGAUUACUUUAGCACACCAAAUUAAAGUAGCAGCUGCAGAAGCAUAGUAGCACCCCCUCCUAACUAACAAGCUUGUUAUUUUUGGGAUUUUUUCUCAUAUGCUCCUCACUACUAUUCAAAAUUUUCAAAUUUAUCUAUCUAUUGUCAAAGUACCUUUGAAACGCUAAAAAUUCCACUAGUAAAUUUUAGAAUUUUAAAAAAUAAUCUUUAUUUUUUUAAAAAAAAAUAAAUACAGAUAUUUUGAUCCACCAUAGAUAUAUUAGAUAUUUUCAAAAUUUUAGAAAUUUUCUUUAUUUUGCAAGAAGCUAAUUGAACUAAAAGCUAUAGCUAAACUAGUAGGGAAGUGGGAGAAUGCAACAGACUUACCAAAACUACUGCUGUUGCUUCCAAUUCUUUCAACCUCUGUAGAUAGGCCUUGUUGACAGCAUAGCGGUAUUAUCUGUACCUAUAAACAUCAUCUGUCUUUUCUUUAUUUCCGUCUCCUUAGAGACCUUGAUGCCUCACCCAUGUAGCUUAAUUCAUCUUCUGAAUGAAUGAAGCGGGUAGCACGCUACUUUUUUCUCAAAAAAAAAAAUUCUUUCAACCUCUGCCUUACUCUUCACACCAUUCUACUCAUUUAUAGGCAGUGAGGGCGGCUCAGGAGCCUGGAGAGUUGGGUGCGCGCGGUGUCGGCGGGCAUGUAUUUCAUACAAAUUAAACUCUAUACUUAAGAAGAGAUCAGAUGUGCGUGAUUCAUAUAUGGCUGAGAAUCUUAGCUUCAUUUCAGUACGAAAGUUUUAAUACUGAUAAAAAAAUAACUUCCCGAAUAUCUUUGCACGUUACUAAAAUUGUAAUAUUAGUUAGGAAAAUACUUCACAUGCGUUGAUAUUUGUGCACAUGGCUGAAAUUUUAAUAUUGAUAAAAAGUACUUCAUAUGGGUAUCUUUGCUGAUGACUAAAAUUAUAAUAUGGAUAAAAAAAUUAAAAUAGCUUACCGUGAGUGUUUUUGCACAUGGUUAAAAUUUUAAUAUUGAUAAAAAAUAACUUUACAUGAAUUUCUCUGCACAUGGCUUCACGUGCAUGGGUUAUCCUCGAACCAGCUCCUCAUCUUCACCUCUCCAAUUCUCUCUGGCGAGAAAGUCUACUGUGUCGUAUUUGUACCACAUUAUUAAUAAUAAGUCAAUCAUAUCUCUCUUUUUUGAAAGAAUGUACAAUAAAAAUAUUUUUUUAUAAUUAUGGUAGGACAGAUAAAUUAAUCUGGUGCAUUUUAGAAUUUUUUUCUGCCCAUCAGCGUCUCUUCUGCGCCCUCCCCGCUCUCUCAGCUCGGUUGGAAAACACACCACACCACACCACACCACACCAUAGAGGCCUGAUGACGACGAACUCCAUCGUCUCGGUGAUCCGUAUGGUGCUAUCAAGAAAUGGGAUCAGGACGUACUCAGUUGAUCCAUGUAGCUGGAUCAUGGUUACUUGUUCUCCAAUAAAGCUUGUUAUUUUCUUUGCAAGUUUUUAUGCAUACUCUACAUAUGUUCUACUGGAGAUUUUAUCCUGGGUUAAUGGUAUGGAAAAAAAAAUAGUAAGGCAGAGAAGUAUUGAUUGAAAGUUACGUAUAUUCAAAUUUAUCUGGCUCACUCUCUCCGAGCGAAGAGAAUAUGACCAAACUUUGAAGGUCCGUAACUCCGUAAUUUUCUAAAUUAUAUUCAAAAUUUCUCCUUAGUUUUGAUAUAAGUAUUUUUUUAUCAAAAUUUAAAUAAAUUUAAAUAGUUUAAAAAAUUUUCUAUCAAAAUUUGAAUAAUUUUAGAUUUUCUAUACCGUUAAACCACAAACUCGCUACAGUAGUUCUUAAAAAUUAACAGUUUUGAAAUUAAUUUUGAAAUUAUUUAGUCAUAAAGUAAACUAUGUCAAAAGAAUAUUUAAAAUUUUAUUUUUAAAAAUUUCAAAUAUUUUAGAUCAGUUUCAAAUAUUUUAUUAGUUUUUUUUAGCUACUAGAAUUAUCCUAUAUUUUAAAUCAGUUUCAAAUUUAUCUGGCCUUCAUACUCAUAAGUUGUUUUCGAUAAUAAAGCUUCCGACGACGAUCCAUACCGUUAAAUAUUAUCUAGAGUAUUUAAAAUUUUUAGAAAUCAAAUUUUAUAAUUUAAAAUUUUUAUUCAAAAUUUAAAUCUAAAUUUGACCUUACAAUUCGAAUUUAAAAUUUGAAUAUAUAAUUCAAAUUUAAGGUCAAAAUCAAAUUUUAAUUUAAAACUAUAAAUUAAAAUUUACGAAAUUAUUUCAAAUUUCAAUUUUAAAUUUGGAAUUAUAAUUUAACUAAUGAAUUUAUAUUAUUUAUGUUUGAAUUCAAGUAAUUAUUAGUGGGGGAAAAAACCGUUUCUCAAUUACUCCGAAAUCAAAGUUCACUGGCCAUCAUGAAGGUGAGAGUCAUUUUGAGGAAUUCCAAUUUUUUCGGAAUAGGAAUUGCCAAUUCCUCCAGCUAAAUACUAACAAUGCGAAUAACUUAUUUCGAUUCUUGUUCCAAGUCUUAAAUAUUUCAAACCAAACAUGCCCUAAAGCGCUAAUAUAUAAUGCAAUUUACCAAGUGCAAAUAACGCCCCAUAGGGAACUAUUUUUAUAUUAUAGAAAUCAAAACAAACAUACAAAUAUUUAUAUUGCAGCAAACUUAAAAAUUUACAUACCUUCAAACAUGACAACACUAGUAGCACCGGUGUUCCAGUGAUUACUUCAGCACACCGAUGUAGUAGCAGCUGAAAAUUAAAAAUAGUAGCACACUCUCCAACUUACAAGCCUUUUAUUUUAUGAGUUUUUGCUUAUAUACUCCUGACUACUAUUCAAGGUUUUUCAAUUUUAUCUUUUUAUUUUUUAAAUUUUAAAAAUUUUGAGAACUAUAUUGAGUAUUAUUUUUUUAUUUUGUAAGUAAAGUUUUAAGUGUCUGUCGGCACGGACCAUAUCCAUCAUGCCGUACUGUGCCAACAAGAUAUCGGCACGAUACAGACCCCGUGCCGAUGGUACAGCUCAAAACCCUUUAUUUUUUAAAUUAGUAAGUAAUUUUUUCAAUAAAAUUCAAAAAAUAUGAAAAAAAGACAUAAUAAAUAGUUCGAAUGAAAUUAUCUAAUUAGACAGUCAAGUUAGACAUAUGUUUCAUGUACAUUUUUUUUUUAGAGAAAAAAUAGCACGUUAUCCGUUUCAUUCAUUAAGUGAUUUGAAUAUAGCAUACAAGAUGAAAAUAGUCUAAGGUCUCCUGAAAAAGGCGAGAAAAAAACAGGCCAGGAGGAUAAAAAAAGAGUAAGGAAAAAGAAAAAGAGAAAGGUGUUUCAUAUACAUUAAACUCAAACGGUUUAUGGUUGAGCCGUUAGCUUCACUUCCGUACAGAAGUUUUAAUGCUAAUGGAAAAUAACUUCACAUGAUACCGUUGCAUGAGGCUAAAAAAUUAAUAUUGAUAAAAACUGCUUCAUAUACUAAGUAUCUUUGUACAUGGCUAAAAUUUUAAUAUAGAUAAAAAAUAGUUUCACAUGAAUUUUUUUUUUUUUUUUGAGAAAUAGAUAGCACGCUAUUCAUUUUGUUUAUUUUAUUUAGAAAUAAACUUGCUGAAAAUAUGAAUCAACUAGGAUUCAAACUUGAGUCUCAAAUACCAAUUAUCAAAUCUUUUGCCACUUACUCUAGGAACAGUCGGUCACAUGCUAAAAUUUUAAUUUUGAUAAAAAAUAGCUUCACGUAGGUAUCUUGACACAUGACUAAAAUUUAAAUAUUAAUAAAAGAACAACUUUAUUAUAUGAAUAUCGAUCUUUGCAAAUGGCUCGACAUGGGUUGUCCUCGAACCAGCUCCUCAUCUUCACCUCUCCAUCUCGUCAGCGCAUGCACAAUUAAUUCCACUGUUCCUCUCUCUUUCUCUUACUAUGCCCAUCGCCGUCUCUUCCGCUCCCUCCCCGCUCUCUCAGCUCAAUGGAAGGGGUUGGAAACCAUACCACACCACACCAUACCAUGGAGACCUGAUGGCGACGAACCCAUCGUCGGUGAUCCUUACGGUGCUAUCAAGAAAUGGGACCACGACUGAUCAGUUGAUCCAUGUAGCUGGACUAUGGUUACUUGCUCUCCAAUAAAGUUGGUUGUGUUUUUUUGCAAGUUUUUAUGCAUACUAGAAUUUCUUGUACCCUUAACUAGAAUUUCUUAUCUUUAUUCAUCCAUGAUGGAUGUUGUUUUAGCCAUGUCAAACGCGUGUUGCUUCUCCAUUCAAUUUACUUUACGACUUUUCUUAUUUUGCUCAAAAAAACAAAAAGGUUUAGAAGAAAAAGAAGUGAAAGAAGUGGUUGUAACAUUAAUGGUGGACUGAGUUGAAUUUUAAAGAGAAAAAAAAUAAUCAUUAAAGAAAAAUUGAGACAUUUUUGCACAAUUAUAACAGUUGAAAUUCUUGAAGGAGCAUAUUUGUGAUGUCAAAAUUGACAUUUCAUUUAUCUGCUGUUAAAAACAGUUCUCUAAUAGUAACAAAUCAAAGAGACAAAUAUAAAUAUUACUGAACUUUUGUAGGAGUAACAUAAAAAAGUUAAACUUUAUAGGAAUAUAUUUGCAGCUCGAUAUGUUUACUGAAAGCUGCAUACAAUUAAACCUAAAUAAUAAUAUUAUAUUAAUAUAUUAUAUUUUAUUAUUGGUGUCUAUAUUACAUUCAUAUUCUUAUUUUUAAGAAGCUAUCAAGCCAUCGUAUCCGAGGCGCCUAGACUUACCUAUGAAAAAAUUAAAGUGUUAUUUUCUUUGGCCUACAUCUAGUUUUCUUCUCAUAAAGCAACAAACUGGAAAAUUCUAGCCAUAUCUUUAGUGCCCAUAAAUGGCUUUCACUUUAGGCAUGAAUAAUAUAUGAAUAGUCGCAUUAUUAUCGCGGUUCUUGUGAUCGUUUUCUCCUUCCUCUUUCCUUCCUUUCUCUUAUGUCGCUUUCUUAGCGAGAUUUUAACGCAGGUUAGGUUUGGAAAAUUCUAAUGUUAUCACGAGUAUUAGGGGCCCAGAUUCGGAAGAUGUGACUAAAUUAGUCUUAGUUUGAAUGCCGUGGCAAUGGAUGCACAGUAGUCUUUGCUUCAACGAGAAACUAAUCUUGUGGUUAGGGUUUAAUAUGCUUAUUCUAUUUUUCUCCUCCUUGGAUCAUCUCGAUCUUUCACUUAGUUUGAACAUCAAAAUAUAAAGCCAUUUAAUGUAUUAUUAAGCAUAAUCAACUUAUGAGUUAACUUAAAAAAUGUUUUAUUUUACUAUUAUGUGAUUUUCUCUUUACAUUAUUAUGAAGACCUGCUGUUAAUUAAAUAGGGUAUAAAAAUUCAAUAAGUAAAAAUGCUGUAAGUUAUAAAUCACAAGAAUUAUAUAUAUAUAUAUAUAUAUAUAUAUANUAUAUAUAUAUAUAUAUAUAUAUAUAUAUAUAUAUAUAUAUAUAUAUAUAUAUAUAUAUAUCAGAAUGGUAAAAAUGCUACUGUGAAUGGUAAAAUAUAUCAUUUAUUUACAAACCAGAGAAAGCAGUGAGAUUUUUACACAUAACAAGAGUCGCUAGCUUUCAUAGUCAUGCAGCAUAUAUAUAAUUAAUAUUUUUAACGGAACGAUCGAUGUAAGGUCCGAUAGAUGACUUUAUUUAAGCAUUCUAGUAGAAUUAAUACAUAACACUUGCAGCUACCAGCCAGCAUAGCUAGUUGGCAGGGCGCCAUGACGGAUUCCAGGCCACCUUCACUAGAACGUUACCAUACUGCCCAGUAAUAUUCAUCUGAGAUGCUCCGUCGAAGAGCGGAGGGAACACUGCAACUCCAUUCACAAUCUGACGGCCGGCAGAGGUUGUGUGGCGAUCGUACAGUUCCGCCCGAACACCGAGGGAGUGACUGGUCGGAACUGCCACCGUCUUUUUCGUCAAUCCAAUACGUUGCCCAGGCCUUACAUUUAUGUGCUCCUCUCUCUUCUUACGGAAGAGCAGAGUCUGCUGCCCAGAAGGAUAAUUGCUGUAAGAAGCAGCAAUCUCGCCGUAAACUUGAGCAGGAUCUUUCCCACCCGCGUUUACGAGCUCGACAGAUAUAGUCGCCUCCACCGCAUCACUCAGCACCGCGUAGCAAGCUGUCGCCGAACCGUGCGCUCCUUUGACAUCAGCAUACAAAAUCCUGUCGAAGACGUUGUUGGCGGUGUCGAAAACAUUCCAUAUGAUCGAACCGUUGCUUACUUCAUCAUCCUGACUCGGAGCAGCCUUAUUCUGGAGGGAAAGAUCCACAGCGAAGCUAUCGAAAGCCGAGAUAGCUCUGUUAGGGCCGGUCAGUAAAAUGUUGCCUCCCGGAGAGAUGGUUUCGGGACUGCCCUUUUGUCGAUCGUACAUGUUCUGAGAACCCAGUCCGUCCACAACCGCGAUGGUGCCGUGGAGCUGGGCAGGGUCCCUGCCACCACCGAUGUUGUCGAUGCGCACCCAGAACACCUCCGCCAUCGGUCGUCCCUGCCGCAACGUCGACGUAUUGUUGUCGUUAGCUGCCGACAACAUGCGCAGGGUCCCAGCUGGCUUUCGGUAGUUGAAGAAUAGCAAGAUUCCGAGUGCAGCAGCCGCAUCCUCAGCUGUCCUUAUUUGCAUGGCAUUGGGUUGCGGGAGCCGAAAGAAAUGGGUGGGAUCCGCGUCGGCGCGUAGUAAUGCAUCAGAAAGAUUCCCCCAGCCGUGUACCAGUGCUAUCAUCCAAGCAGGGGGUGGGGCACCCGGGUAAUAAUGUUUAGCAAGAUGGUCGGAGAUACGACUAAAUCUGAUCGACUCGCAGAUCAUUUGAAUCACAACAAUCAAUUGCUUGGCCCUCUCCUGGCGGUUGGUAGUGGAAGCGAGUUGGUUGACAGCAGUUCCGAGCUGCGGCUGGCCGAGGUUUAUGCGAUCCAUCGCUUGCCCGGCGGCAUUUUCCAAGUCAUUGUAAUCGCCGUUGAAGCCCAGGAAGUUGGGUCCCGGACCUCUUCCCAACUCUAACCACUGAUCAGCAUUCCACAUUUUGUAGCCGUCCAAGUAAAGGUUACCUCGCCGAAUCCUCAGCGUGAUGCUCCGUGAUUGAGUUUGCAGUUCCACAUGGAAUCUCUCGACUGGGUGAAUCUGCUGAGGGGGAAGCACAGGGCGAUUGUGUGAAUAGCUAGAUGCCAAUUUGUUGCGCAAGGAUUCAAUGA